rnacentral:rRNA from 1 species
UAGGGAAUCUUCGGCAAUGGACGAAAGUCUGACCGAGCAACGCCGCGUGAGUGAAGAAGGUUUUCGGAUCGUAAAACUCUGUUGCUAGAGAAGAACAAGGACGUUAGUAACUGAACGUCCCCUGACGGUAUCUAACCAGAAAGCCACGGCUAACUACGUGCCAGCAGCCGCGGUAAUACGUAGGUGGCAAGCGUUGUCCGGAUUUAUUGGGCGUAAAGCGAGCGCAGGCGGUUUCUUAAGUCUGAUGUGAAAGCCCCCGGCUCAACCGGGGAGGGUCAUUGGAAACUGGGAGACUUGAGUGCAGAAGAGGAGAGUGGAAUUCCAUGUGUAGCGGUGAAAUGCGUAGAUAUAUGGAGGAACACCAGUGGCGAAGGCGGCUCUCGGGUCUGUAACUGACGCUGAGGCUAGAAAGCGUGGGGAGCAAACAAG